CAUGGCUCGGAUGAACGCCGGCGGUGUGCCUAAUACAUGCAAGUCGAACGCGUUGGCCCAAUUGAUUGAUGGUGCUUGCACCUGAUUGAUUUUGGUCGCCAACGAGUGGCGGACGGGUGAGUAACACGUAGGUAACCUGCCCAGAAGCGGGGGACAACAUUUGGAAACAGAUGCUAAUACCGCAUAACAGCGUUGUUCGCAUGAACAACGCUUAAAAGAUGGCUUCUCGCUAUCACUUCUGGAUGGACCUGCGGUGCAUUAGCUUGUUGGUGGGGUAACGGCCUACCAAGGCGAUGAUGCAUAGCCGAGUUGAGAGACUGAUCGGCCACAAUGGGACUGAGACACGGCCCAUACUCCUACGGGAGGCAGCAGUAGGGAAUCUUCCACAAUGGGCGCAAGCCUGAUGGAGCAACACCGCGUGAGUGAAGAAGGGUUUCGGCUCGUAAAGCUCUGUUGUUAAAGAAGAACACGUAUGAGAGUAACUGUUCAUACGUUGACGGUAUUUAACCAGAAAGUCACGGCUAACUACGUGCCAGCAGCCGCGGUAAUACGUAGGUGGCAAGCGUUAUCCGGAUUUAUUGGGCGUAAAGAGAGUGCAGGCGGUUUUCUAAGUCUGAUGUGAAAGCCUUCGGCUUAACCGGAGAAGUGCAUCGGAAACUGGAUAACUUGAGUGCAGAAGAGGGUAGUGGAACUCCAUGUGUAGCGGUGGAAUGCGUAGAUAUAUGGAAGAACACCAGUGGCGAAGGCGGCUACCUGGUCUGCAACUGACGCUGAGACUCGAAAGCAUGGGUAGCGAACAGGAUUAGAUACCCUGGUAGUCCAUGCCGUAAACGAUGAGUGCUAGGUGUUGGAGGGUUUCCGCCCUUCAGUGCCGGAGCUAACGCAUUAAGCACUCCGCCUGGGGAGUACGACCGCAAGGUUGAAACUCAAAGGAAUUGACGGGGGCCCGCACAAGCGGUGGAGCAUGUGGUUUAAUUCGAAGCUACGCGAAGAACCUUACCAGGUCUUGACAUCUUGCGCCAACCCUAGAGAUAGGGCGUUUCCUUCGGGAACGCAAUGACAGGUGGUGCAUGGUCGUCGUCAGCUCGUGUCGUGAGAUGUUGGGUUAAGUCCCGCAACGAGCGCAACCCUUGUUACUAGUUGCCAGCAUUAAGUUGGGCACUCUAGUGAGACUGCCGGUGACAAACCGGAGGAAGGUGGGGACGACGUCAGAUCAUCAUGCCCCUUAUGACCUGGGCUACACACGUGCUACAAUGGACGGUACAACGAGUCGCGAACUCGCGAGGGCAAGCAAAUCUCUUAAAACCGUUCUCAGUUCGGACUGCAGGCUGCAACUCGCCUGCACGAAGUCGGAAUCGCUAGUAAUCGCGGAUCAGCAUGCCGCGGUGAAUACGUUCCCGGGCCUUGUACACACCGCCCGUCACACCAUGAGAGUUUGUAACACCCAAAGUCGGUGGGGUAACCUUUUAGGAGCCAGCCGCCUAAGGUGGGACAGAUGAUUAGGGUGAAGUC
rnacentral:rRNA from 1 species